UUGGGAGACAAUAUGAGGAAAUCAUCCCUAUGAAGCAAGCAAAAUUGUCCUUCAAGUUAAUUCCAGCUGUUUUGUGGGGACAGAUUAGAUGAAUUCUGACUACCUUGAUUCAAGCUUGUCAUGGGACCUGACCCUAGGAAGGGGGCCCUGAGCUGUCGAACUUGAUCAUCUGGUCCCGCCGGCCUCGGUGUUGCUCAGGAUGGUCUAAGAUUGCCUCUCGAUCGAGACGAUGAAACCCGCUGAAGAUGGCAGACAAGGACAACUGGCCCUCCGGAGCUGUGCUCCCGGAAGAUUACUUUGACAUCUGUGCGCAAGAGGUGGAGCAAUAAUGGGAACUGGAGAGUCCCCGCAUUGUCCAGACCAUGGC